AUACUCACCUGGCAGUAGAGAUACCAUCAUCAAAAAAAGCUUAUCCAUUGCACUCUGGAUGUGCUGACCCCUGUGAUUUCCCCAAAUGUAGGAAACUCAACUGCACAAUUUGUGGUAGUGCAGGAUUGUGUUCAUGCUCUCUCCUGAG
rnacentral:snRNA from 1 species